UACGUAGGGGACGAGCGUUGUCCGGAAUUACUGGGCGUAAAGGGCGCGCAGGCUGUAGAUCAAGUCAGCUGUGAAAUGUCUGGGCUUAACCCGGGCAUGCGGUUGAAACUGAUGUACUGGAGUGCUGUAGAGGCAAGUGGAAUUCCCAGUGUAGCGGUGAAAUGCGUAGAUAUUGGGAAGAACACCGGUGGCGAAGGCGACUUGCUGGACGGCAACUGACGUUGAGGCUCGAAAGCGUGGGGAUCAAACAGGAUUAGAUA
rnacentral:rRNA from 1 species